UGUCAUUCUAGAUACACUUUCCAGUACAUCUACUAUGUUACGACUUAUCUUACCUUAAUAAUAAGAGCGACGGGCGAUGUGUACAUAUUUUAGAGCUAAAAUCAAAUUAUUAAUCUUUAUAAUUUUACUACCAAAUCCACCUUCAAAAAUUUUUUCAUAAUUUAAUCCGUUUAAAUAAUUUUAUUGUAACCCAUUAUUACUUAAAUAUAAGCUACACCUUGAUCUGAUAUAAAUUUUAAUAAAAAUUAUUGAAUAUUAUUAUUCUUGUAAAAUAUUCUGAUAACGACGGUAUAUAAACUGAUUACAAAUUUAAGUAAGGUCCAUCGCGGAUUAUCGAUUACAAAACAGGUUCCUCUGGAUAGACUAAAAUACCGCCAAAUUUUUUAAGUUUCAAGAACUUAUCUAUUACUACUUAAGUAUUUAUAUUUACAUUUUAAAUAAUAGGGUAUCUAAUCC
rnacentral:rRNA from 1 species